rnacentral:rRNA from 1 species
UACGAAGGGGGGCUAGCGUUGCUCGGAAUCACUGGGCGUAAAGCGCACGUAGGCGGACUCUUAAGUCGGUGGUGAAAUCCUGGAGCUCCAACUCCAGAACUGCCUUCGAUACUGGGAGUCUCGAGUCCGGGAGAGGUGAGUGGAACUGCGAGUGUAGAGGUGAAAUCGUAGAUAUUCGCAAGAACACCAGUGGCGAAGGCGGCUCACUGGCCCGGUACUGACGCUGAGGUGCGAAGCGUGGGGA